ensembl:snoRNA small nucleolar RNA, C/D box 1C
CUGAGCUAAUGAUGAUUUUAAAGUUAUCCCUGUCUGAAUCUUUUGUGUGGAUUCUGUCUCGCUGAGGCCCAG